UUUUUAGGGCUGCACCUGUGGCAUAUGGCAAUUCCAAGGCCAGGGGUCAAAUUGGAGCUGCAGUUGCAGGCCUAUGCUACAGUCACAAUAAGAACAGAUCUAAGCUGCAUCUGUGACCUGUGCUGCAGCUUGUGGCAUUGCCAGAUCCUUAAACCCAGUGAAUGAGGCCAGGGAUCGAACCUGCAUCCUCAUGCAUACUACUUGGCUUCUUAACCUGCUGAGCCACAACGUGUUUUUAUAUCCAGGAAAAUGUAUUUAUUCUAGAAAUCAACUCCUGAAAACAAACUAAACGGCUCUCGUCAUCUCAUUCUCUCCUUAUUGAUUGCUCUUUUUUGUUUGCAGCUUUCUAUAAUGAUUUCCCUCUUCCUAGAAAGUAAAAAUUGUAUCAAAAUACAAAUGAUUAACAAAUCUUUUAAGAAACUCUCCUCAACAUCUAGAGAUUUAUCAUAUGCCGACAGCAUAAAAUCACUGGUAAAUCUGACUGGAUGACAUGUAAAGUUUAUUGUGUACCCUUGCAAGGAAAAUAAAAAGAACACUAUAAGCACGAAAUGAAUCCAAUGAAAUGAUUUUUAUCACUAUGUGUAAAUUGAUUUCAUAUAUGUGAAAUCAUAUAUAAUGCAUGUACAUAUACUGGCAUAAGCACAACCAUAUAUAUAGUAACAGCAAUAUGUCACCACUGAUACCCCAAAAGAGAAUCCUCUUAAAUAGAUGCUACACUUAAUGCCAGGAAUAUAGGAAUGAACCAGACGCCUAUGGCCCCUGACUUCUUGGAGUUUAGGGUUUAAUUGGUAUUGAUAAUAUACCAAGAUCACUAAUGUAGCAGAUAAUUCAAAAUGAACUGUUAUACCAAUACAGUUUGAACAGAAGUCCAUAGUAAAUAUAUGCAAACUGGUUUUGCUUUGAACAAAGCAGAGCAGUGAACUAAUGAGGUACUAAUGCAGGAAAUCAUAAGACAUACUUUGACAGCUAAAAGAGUUGUAACAUGAGCAAGAACUUACUUACUUUUCAACUCCCAUAUGAGGUAAUAUUCUCAGAAACUUUAAAUAAGUCUAAGUAGAUUAACUCAGGGUAGAAAAGUUAUAUUAGUGGAAUUUUAUAGAUAGUAUUUAGGAAAUACAGAAGAUAAUACCAAAAGAUACAUAAUUUAAUGAAAAUAAUAACUUUAAAUCUAAUUAAUGCUUUAUUUUCCAUAUUCUUAAUUAGUGGGAUAAUCCUAUGUCUAUUUGUUACUGUGCAUCUUUCAUGUUUACUUAAUGGGCAAAUAAAUUUUUUUUUUUUUUUGUCUUUUUAGGGCCACACCUGUGGCAUAUGGAGGUUCCCAGGCUAGGGGUCCAAUCAGAACUGUAGUUGCUGGGCUACGCCAGAGCCACAGCAACGCCAGAUCUGAGCCACGUCUGCGAUCUACACCACAGCUCACAGCAAUGCUGGGUCCUUAACCCACUGAGCAAGUCCAGGGAUUGAACCCGUGUCCUCAUGGAUGCUAGUCAGAUUUGUUUCUGCUGAGCCACAACAGGAACUUUGAGGCAAAUACAUUUUGUAUAAAUUAAUUCUUAGUAACAUGAGUUAAUAUUUAUACUAUUGAAAAUGAACACGCUGAUAUAUUGUUCAAUGUCAAGAAAAUGUGCAACAUAUCUAUUUUUAGGUUCACCUGUAAAUCACUGUUACCCUAAUUACCUUUUUAUUUUUUUAUUUCUCAGUAUGUCAGAGAUAUCUAAUAGGCAUAAAGUCACGAGCAUUUUAAUAUUAGAAGUGGUAAGUUAAAUUCUAAAGUAUAAGUUAUUGUUCUAAAUAUAAAUAUUUC
rnacentral:lncRNA from 1 species